rnacentral:rRNA from 1 species
UUUCCGUAGCAAUACGGGGAUGGGCGCACGGCGCACGGGUGCGUAACACGUGGGCAAUCUGCCCUCCGAUGGGGAAUACCCCCGCGAAAGCGGGACUAAUUCCGCAUAACAUUCCUUGGAUUAACUUUCGAGGAUUCAAAGCAGCAAUGCGUCGGAGGAGGAGCCUGCGCCCGAUUAGCUAGUUGGUGAGGUAACGGCUCACCAAGGCAAUGAUCGGUAGCUGGUCUGAGAGGAUGGCCAGCCACACUGGAACUGAGACACGGUCCAGACUCCUACGGGAGGCAGCAGUGGGGAAUCUUGCACAAUGGGCGAAAGCCUGAUGCAGCGACGCCGCGUGGGGGAUGAAGCUUUUCGGAGUGUAAACCCCUUUCGACUGGGACGAAUGCCUCGCAAGAGGAGUGACGGUACCAGUAUAAGAAGCCCCGGCUAACUACGUGCCAGCAGCCGCGGUAAGACGUAGGGGGCCAGCGUUGUUCGGAAUUACUGGGUGUAAAGGGUUCGUAGGCGGUGUGGCAAGUCGGGAGUGAAAUCUCUGGGCUCAACCCAGAGACUGCUUCCGAAACUGCUGUGCUUGAGUGUGAGAGAGGCUCGUGGAAUUGCAGGUGUAGCGGUGAAAUGCGUAGAUAUCUGCAGGAACACCCGUGGCGAAAGCGGCGAGCUGGAUCACUACUGACGCUGAGGAACGAAAGCUAGGGGAGCAAACAGGAUUAGAUACCCUGGUAGUCCUAGCCCUAAACGAUCAGGACUUGGGGUGCCGCCCGUUCGGGCGUCGUCCCGGAGCUAACGCGUUAAGUCCUGCA